GUAAUGGAUCGGGAUACCGCGAUGAAAAGGGAAGAAAUUUACCCUUUUCAUUGAGGAAAGUCCGGGCUCCAGAGGGCCUGAUGCCGGGUAAUGCCCGGGCUUGCUGGCCGUAAGGUCAGCAGGACAGACAGUACCACAGAAAACAUACCGCCCCUCUGUGCACGAGCACAGGGUACUGCUCGAAAGAGCAGGGGUAAGGGUGAAAAGGCGGGGUAAGAGCCCACCGCAUGACUGGUAACAGCAUGGCAGGGUAAACCUCAUCAGGAGCAAGGUCAAGCAGCGGGAAUGGAUGGCCCCUCCGAAGUACCGCGGGUAGACCGCUUGAAGAUUUUCGGUGACGAAAAUCGAAGAUAGAUGGUAUCCCUUCCCUUAAAGGGGAAGACAGAACUCGGCUUACAGGUCCAUUACCUUU
rnacentral:RNase_P_RNA from 1 species